CACAAGGUCUUGUCAAACUUGUUUAGUCGUUGAGACUCGAGAAAAUUCUAGAGCGAUGAUUUAUUAUGACUUUCGAAGUGAUUUAACACAAAAACAGUGUGUUGACCGGAUGAUUUCUGCAUUUGGUGAUGAAGCCCCAUCCAAAACCACAAUUUAUCGCUGGUUUGCUGGAUUGCAACGUGGACGUGUCAAGCUCAGUGAUGAUCCCCGUCAAGGUCGUCCAAAAACUGCAGUCACCAAAGAAAACGGUGAUGCUGUGCGUAAGCUGACUGAGGAAGAUCGACAUGUGACAUACCGCGAAAUUCAGGCAACUUUAGACAUCGGCAUGAGUCAAAUACAAAUAAUCUUGCUUGAACAAUUAGGUGUAAAAAAGUUGGGGUUGGACUUAGUAUCCCGUAGCACGAAUUUGGAUGUAAAAAAUAUAGUAUUUGAUAGAGCUUUAGUCCACGAUUAUAAUGAUACCACUCUUAUUACAAGGUAAUGCAUCGUUUUCAAGAAAAUAACGAAAAAAAAAUUCUAACCUAAAACAGAAGGUGCAGUAGCUACUCUCCACUAUGCCCAACCGAGCCAGGUGGGCCGGGACGGUGGAGUGACCAAAACGCAGUCUGUUUAUAGUCGUAAUAAAGUCCCAAUUGGCCAUUUUCAAUUUGUUAUACCAUGGUGCCACAGUACAAUGAGAGGUAGAACUGGGAAAUAACCUUGUAAAAGAUCACCUCCCGAAGUCUGCUGAGCCAAGCAUUGUACAGGAAAAGAUCUGACAAGAGAGAGAUGAAGCUGUCAGCACAACUUCGGCCUCUCCGGAAGCCAUAUUGAACAUGUGGAAUGAUGUUGUUCACCUCUACGUAAUACUCAAGACGCAUCUUUAUCAUGUUUUCAUUAAGCUUCCCAACACAAGAUGACAAUGAUAUGGGACAAUAUGAGUUAGGAUCUUCAGGUGGCUUGUCAAGCUUAAGUAGAGGGAUUACACACUGUGUUUUCCAAGAUUUAGGAAUUUUCUUUAAGUGCCAAAGAGUAGUCACAGGUUCAUUAUCUGUUUUAUUACCCAAUUCAACUAAAGUUUGGACCAUUGCCAUCAGAAUAUUCUUAUUGUUUGCAAUUUGAGCCUUAAGUUAAGUUAGGUUCAGGUACUGUUUUAUUUACAUUUUUAUUUAAUUUAUAUACAUUUUGGCUUGAUGGUAGAGUUUUAACAAUGUUGCUCGAAUGUGCAGGUAAAGACGGAAAAUCAGAUGACUUAAUUGUAUUAGCCACAGAGGCAUAAGUAAUGUUACCCUUUUUUUCAAGUAUUUUCUUCAUUUUAAUUGGGCAAGAUUUGGAAAUGUCCAGGUGAGGGCCACUACAAUUGACACAACACAAGUUCUCUUUUUUAUCGCAGUCUCUGAAAUUAUGCUCCCCAGCACAUAUUGAUCAACGCUGUUUACCAUUGCAAAUUUUCGCAGGAUGGUUGAACUUGAAGCACCGGAAGCAUUGCUGCAACGGCGGGACAUAUUCAAACACCCGGAACGAAAAUAGGUCAUAUUGGAUGUUGUCGGGCAGAACAUUUGAUAAGAAAGUUAUACUGACAGUCUCAAGACCUACAGUACUUUGACCGACUUUUUUCAUGAAUCUUCUCACUGAAAUAAUUUCAUAGAUCGAAGACAGUUUCGUAUAUAAAUCUUUGUUCGAAAUGUUGGUAGGCACAUAUCGGAUAAUUCCAGUUUUUUCUAUCUGCGCUGCAGGAAUAUGCGCCUUCAAGUUGUGCUUUGUUAAAAAGUCAGUAUUUGUUAUGAAAUUAUUUGCAGUGUUGUAUUGUUUGAAAACAACCGCAAUUUUGUUGGCAUUGACUCUAUGUAAAGCUACCACACCUUUCACCUCUGAAGUAAAAAUAUGAUUUAAGUAAA